AUACGGAGGAUCCAAGCGUUAUCCGGAAUCAUUGGGUUUAAAGGGUCCGUAGGUGGAUAAUUAAGUCAGAGGUGAAAUCCUGCAGCUCAACUGUAGAAUUGCCUUUGAAACUGGUUAUCUUGAGUCAUUAUGAAGUGGUUAGAAUGUGUAGUGUAGCGGUGAAAUGCAUAGAUAUUACACAGAAUACCGAUUGCGAAGGCAGAUCACUAAUAAUGUACUGACACUGAUGGACGAAAGCGUGGGUAGCGAACAGGAUUAGAAACCCCGGUAGUCC
rnacentral:rRNA from 1 species